UACGAAGGGGGCUAGCGUUGUUCGGAAUCACUGGGCGUAAAGCGCACGUAGGCGGAUCUUUUAAGUCAGAGGUGAAAUCCCAAGGCUCAACCUUGGAACUGCCUUUGAUACUGGGGAUCUUGAGUCCGGGAGAGGUGAGUGGAACUGCGAGUGUAGAGGUGAAAUUCGUAGAUAUUCGCAAGAACACCAGUGGCGAAGGCGGCUCACUGGCCCGGUACUGACGCUGAGGUGCGAAAGCGUGGGGGAGCAAACAGG
rnacentral:rRNA from 1 species